rnacentral:rRNA from 1 species
CGUAGGGUGCGAGCGUUAAUCGGAAUUACUGGGCGUAAAGCGUGCGCAGGCGGUUUAGUAAGACAGGCGUGAAAUCCCCGGGCUCAACCUGGGAACUGCGCUUGUGACUGCUAAGCUAGAGUGCGGCAGAGGGGGGUGGAAUUCCACGUGUAGCAGUGAAAUGCGUAGAGAUGUGGAGGAACACCAAUGGCGAAGGCAGCCCCCUGGGUCGAUACUGACGCUCAUGCACGAAAGCGUGGGUAGCAAACAGGAUUAGAUACCCUGGUAGUCCACGCCCUAAACGAUGUCAACUAGGUGUUGGGAGGGUAAAACCUUUUAGUACCGGAGCUAACGCGUGAAGUUGACCGCCUGGGGAGUACGGCCGCAAGGUUA